rnacentral:rRNA from 1 species
CAGCCGCCGCGGUAAUACGAAGGGUGCAAGCGUUACUCGGAAUUACUGGGCGUAAAGCGUGCGUAGGUGGUGGUUUAAGUCCGUUGUGAAAGCCCUGGGCUCAACCUGGGAAUUGCAGUGGAUACUGGGUCACUAGAGUGUGGUAGAGGAUAGUGGAAUUUCCGGUGUAGCAGUGAAAUGCGUAGAGAUCGGAAGGAACAUCUGUGGCGAAGGCACUCUGCUGGGCCGACACUGACACUGAGAGACGAAAGCUAGGGGAGCAAAUGGGAUUAGAUACCCGGGUAGUCCCUGUCUCUUAUAC